rnacentral:tRNA from 1 species
GAGGUUGUAGUUUAGUGGUAAAGAACAGAAUGUCCCAGGUUCAAUCCCUGGUGUCCCCU